CCCCCCCUAGCUUUUUCCGCCUAUAUACCACCGUCGCCAGCUUACCCUGUGAAGGACUUAUAGUAAGCACAAUCGGCACAGCCCAAAACGUCAGGUCGAGGUGUAGUGCAUGGGAGGGGAAGAAAUGGGCUACAUUCGCUGCAGAUCAGCGAAUACGAAUGAUACAUUGAAACAUGUAAUUGAAGGAGGAUUUAGCAGUAAGCGGGAAGUAGAGCGUUCCGCUGAAGCCGGCUCUUAAGCGCGCACACACCGCCCGUCACCCUCCCCGAGCAACUGGACCUUAAUUCUUCUUAAACCCUAACAACCGCGAAGGAGAGGAAAGUCGUAACAUGGUAAGCGUACCGGAAGGUGCGCUUGGUCAAA
rnacentral:rRNA from 1 species